ensembl:snRNA U1 U1 spliceosomal RNA
AAACAUGGCUGGCAGGGGAGUUAUGAAUAGUCAUGAAGGUAGUUUUCCAGGGUGAGACUUAAUCAUCUCACUCCAGAUGUGAAGACCCCUGUGAUUUCCCCACAUGUGAGAACCUUGAUUACAUAAUAUGUGGUAGUGGGGGACUGUAUUUGUGCUUUCUCAUG